rnacentral:rRNA from 1 species
GCGUGGGGGAUGAAGGUCUUCGGAUUGUAAACCCCUGUCGAGCGGGACGAAUGGCCCGCGACCUAACACGUCGCGGGAGUGACGGUACCGCUAAAGGAAGCCACGGCUAACUCUGUGCCAGCAGGCCGCGGUAAUACAGAGGUGGCAAGCGUUGUUCGGAAUUACUGGGCGUAAAGGGCGCGUAGGCGGCCUUCUAAGUCAGACGUGAAAUCCCCCGGCUCAACCUGGGAACUGCGUCUGAUACUGGAAGGCUUGAAUGCGGGAGAGGGAUGCAGAAUUCCAGGUGUAGCGGUGAAAUGCGUAGAUAUCUGGAGGAAUACCGGUGGCGAAGGCGGCAUCCUGGACCGACAUUGACGCUGAGGCGCGAAAGCUAGGGUAGCAAACGGGAUUAGAUACCCCGGUAGUCCUAGCCCUAAACGAUGAGUGCUUGGUGUGGCGGGUAUCGAUCCCUGCCGUGCCGAAGCUAACGCAUUAAGCACUCCGCCUGGGGAGUACGGUCGCAAGGCUG